UGCUCUUCCAACCUGGGAUAAACACGCUAGCCAUACCAGUCAUAAAUUAUAGCUUUAACAUAAUAAACUGGAAGAUCAGUGAAUUGAGAAACUUAGAUAGAAAAACCAGAAAACUACUAACAGCAUACCGAAGUCACCGCCCAAAAGCAAAC